rnacentral:lncRNA from 1 species
AAUCAAUUGAGAAACCUGUCGCCACAGAAAACAACCAAUGAAACAAGCAAAUGAAGUAUUGAAAUUUCUUUUUAUGUUUCAUAUUUAUCAAAUCCAUGUUCUUGAUGCGAGGUCUUGUGUUUUUUCCCAGGGCUCUGAAAGAUAAACAAAACAAUCAAUUGAGAAACCUGUUGCCAUAGAAAACAAGCAAUGAAACGAUAACAUACAGAAAUGAAAACCAAAACCAAAACAAAACCCACCACCAACAACAAAAAAACACCUUAAAUGUAGGAACUUCAGAGGGAGACAAGGACAUGCUCAGCACCUUGAGGACUGGUCUUGAAGAGAGCAAUCAAGCAGGCUUGGUGUGCAUCGGCAAGAGAAGAGCUGGGGAACUGAUUUCUGCCAACAACAGAAAGUGUGUUUGAGGACUUCUCCCACGGCUCUUCCACUGAUGCUGUAUCUGAGGUGUUUACAACAAGAAGUGAUCUCUAAAUAUCUUAGUCUUGGUGGCGUACAGCAAGGUAGGAAGAAGAUGGGUGACCAAGGAGAGAGUGUGGAGCAAGUCAGCAAGAAGUCAGGAGCCAUUUUGUGUCACAUAUGUGCAUUACUGACUUCACAAUAUGGAUCAGAUACAAUUACCUUCCUUUGGUUAUAG